UACGUAGGGUGCGAGCGUUAAUCGGAAUUACUGGGCGUAAAGGGUGCGUAGGCGGAUAUAUAAGUUAGAUGUGAAAUCCCCGAGCUUAACUUGGGAAUGGCAUUUAAGACUGUAUGUCUAGAGUCUGUAAGAGGGGGGUAGAAUUCCGAGUGUAGCAGUGAAAUGCGUAGAGAUUCGGAGGAACACCAGUGGCGAAGGCGGCCCCCUGGUAUAAGACUGACGCUGAGGCACGAAAGCGUGGGUAGCAAACAGG
rnacentral:rRNA from 1 species